rnacentral:rRNA from 1 species
UUGGGUGAUUUUAAUGAGAUUUUGUCUCUUGAUGAGAAGGUCGGAGGGGCCAUCCGGCCGCAAUGACUCAUGGACAAUUUCAGGCAAGCACUGGAAUCCUGUGGGCUCUCUGAUCUCGGCUAUGAGGGUGAUAAGUUUACCUGGAGAAACCAUAGCCGAGAGAGGCUUGACAGAGCAGCAGCUAAUGAUCGUUGGUGUAAUUGGUUCCCUGAGUUCACGGUACUUAAUGGGCCUCCCCGUCACUCGGAUCACAGACCGGUUAUU